rnacentral:lncRNA from 10 species
UUGUUCCCCUUUGGCCUGUGAAGAGUGGAACAGGAGUUACACAAAUAGAGAUGAUUGCCUCUCCAUCCUGACAAAGUAUGAUAAAGACCACCGAAGUGUUGUACGCAAGAAAGCACAGGAUGGCUGGGAUGAGUGAACUAUGUAUCCCAGGUUUUACUUAGGCCUCAGCAUCCAGUGGUAACCCUGUCAAUUCUUUGCUCUCUCUGAUCAUUUGCAAGUAUUGAGAGGAAGACACUAUUUUGGGGUUAAUUAGAAUCAUACAGUAUUUAUCUUUUGUGACUGGUUUAUUUCAUUGGUUUAAUAUCCUCAAGCUUCAUCCACGUAGCAGUAUAUGCCAAAAUUUCCUUCCUUUUUAGAGCAGAAUAUUUCAUUGAAUGCAUGUGUCAUAUUUGGCUUAUCUAUUCAUCUGUUGAUGGACAAUUCCAUUGCUUUCAUGUUUUAGGUUUUGUGAAUAAUGCUGUUACUAACAUUGGUUUACAAAUACAUUGCUGAGACCCUACUUUCAGUUCUUUUGGUUAUAUACUUAGAACUGGAAUUGCUGAAUCAUAUGGUAAUUCUAUUUUUUAAUUUUUUGAAGAACUUCCACACUGUUGCUCUAACUUCUAUUAUUUAUUUGCUUCUGCUAGCUUUAGGUUUAGUUUAUUCUUUUUAUGGUAUCUUAAAGUAUGAAGCUAAGUUACUAACUUGGAAUCAUCCUUUUUUAAAUUGAUACAUAAUAUUUUACAUGUUUAUGGGGUAUAUGUGGGUACAUUUCUUACACGCAUAGAAUGUGUAAUGAUCAAGUCAGGGUAUUGGGAGCGUCCAUUGCCUUGAGUAUUUAUCAUUUUUGUGUGUUGGGAACAUUUCGAGCCCUCUCUUCUAGCUACUUUAAAAUAUAUAAUGCACUGUUGCUAACUAUAGUCACCCCGCUCUGCUAUCAAACAUUAGAGCUUAUUUAUUUUAACUGUAUGUUUAUACUCAUUAAAUAAUUUCUCUUCAUCCUUCCUCCCACCCACACUCUUCCCAUCCUCUGGUAUCUGGCAUUUUAUUAAUCACUUUCAUGAUUUUUUUUUUUUUUUUGAGAUAGAGUCUCUCUCUGUUGCCCAGGCUGGAGUGCCAUGGCAAGAUCUCGGCUCACUGCAAACUCUGCCUCCUGGGUUCAAGCAAGUCUCCUGCCUCAGCCUCCCAAGUAGCGAGAGUUACAGGCAUGCGCCACCAGGCCUGGGUAAUUUUGUAUUUUUAGUAGAGAUGGGGUUUCACUAUGUUGGUCAGGCUGGUCUCGAACUCCUGACCUCAAGUGAUCCACCCACCUCAGCCUCCCAAAGUGCUGGGAUUACAGGCGUGAGCCACUGCACCCGGUCGAGUUCUACUUUUUUAGCUCCCACAUAUGAGAAUAUGUGGUAUUUGUCUUUCCUGUCCCUGGAUUGUUUCAUUUAACAUAAUGACCUCAAGUUUCAUCUAUAUUGCUGAAAAUAACAUAAUUGCAUUCUUUUGUAUGGCUAAAUAGUAUUCCAUUGCGUGUGUGUAUAUAUAUAAAUCUAUAUAUAUAUAUUUAUAUAUACAUAUAUAACAACAUUUAUGUUGUUCCUCUACAUGGGUCAUAUUUCCCAAUUUCAUUUUAUGCCUUUUUUUUCUUGUUGUUGUUAAAAAUUGGGCAUUUGAAAAAAGUGGACACUUCUCCCCAUCUUUGCAAACUGAUGUGGAAGACUGUUACUACUUAGUGGGCCCACCUAUCCUUGACAUUAGCCUGGGUUGAAGUCUUAAUGUCUUUUCAGAUCCUUUCUGGGUAUGCAUUCUGUCUGGGCCUCUGUGUGUGUGUGUCUGUCCCUGUGUGUUUCCAGGCUUGUUUUAAGUGUCUUAAUUUCCCAAAAUAUCUCACUCUAGCUUUUUCUAGGGGGUUCUAAAUGUUCUAUUGCAUUCCUUGGCCUGUAAUCUCUUCACUCUAGAUGUUCAAUGGUCUGAAGUGCCUCUGUGGUUUUCAUAUACUACAGUAAGUACCACGGCCUUCUAUGAACUGGAGCUUCCUAAUCCACCCUCUUGCUGACAUCACACUAAAUAUUCACUUUUGUAACUACUUUUAUAUUUCAAAAUUUGCAUCCCUUUUCAAAAAAUAGGUUAUACACCAAAGUGUGUGAGCGUUAGGCCCCUGAAUCUGAAUCUACAUCUGGAAGUAAGAAGAAAGAAAUUUUAACUGUGAAACAAGUUUGAAUUUUCGUUAUUUACAUGAAUUGCAAAAACAAGUCAUUUAUAUCUAAAGGUGAUAAAAGAUUUUAUUUUUAUUUUUUGUUUUAUGAAAUCAACCCUCCUAUCCAAAGUAACAGAAAUAAUCUAUUCAGAGUCAUGGAAAAAACAGAGUGGGCUGUUGGAAUUGGAAAGAAACAAGUAUGUGUGUGAUCUAUCUCUAUCAUCUAUCUAUCUAUUAUCUAUCAUUUACUUCAUGGCUUAGUGUAUGCCCAUAUAUGUCCUUUAAAGGGGGAAAUAAUAAUAUUUAAUCUGAGAACGUAUUUAUAAUUUUGACAAGUGUUUGUGGACACUGGUUUUAUAGUUAGGUAGACUUGAAUUUAUCCUAGGUCUGUUUUUGUUCACUCGGGAAAGUUGCUUAUCCUCUAAAUAACCUUGGUUUUCUCUAUCUGUAAAAUGACAUCAUAGAACAUGUUUUAGGGUUGUGGUAAGAACAAAAUGAGAUAAUUCAAGUAAAGGUUUUAGCAUAAUGCCUGACAUGUAGAAAACACUAGCAUUCAAAAAGGAGUCAUUAUUAUCAUUUUUACUAUUACUUAUUAAUACAUACUUGGAGAAGCAGGUAGUUUGGUGCUCUUACAUUAUCACUGAAUAAAUUGAGGCCAAGAGUUUAAAUAUUUUGUUCAUAAUUACUUAGGAAUUUAUGAGUAUACCUUUAGCUUGUAAACUGUAGAAAUUAUUAACAUCUUUGCCUUUCCAUCAGUUCAUUAAGAACUGCAAAUUAUAAAUGUUUCUGGACUCUAAGCUGAGUAUGCAGUAUCUUAUGAAAACAUCAGGCAGGUGGGGUUGGAUUUGGUAUUUUUUCUAAGAAUUUAGUCCCUUUAUUGCUCAAAUUACUGGAAAAUCAAUGACUUGUGCCAAACAAAUUGUUUUCUUUCUCUAGACAAAAAGCAGAUCAGCAAGUUUUCAUAUUGCACUAUUUUCAAUGGCUGGAGCAUCAACAUUUUACAACAAGAAAAAAAUUAAAAUUCUUCAACAUUUGGAAAAGAAGUGUUUGUAAAACUUUUCACAUCCAUUCACCAUCCGGAAAAGCAAGGUUUUACAGUGAGGCCUGAUGAUGUCUAGAGUCACCAUGCAUCUUGGAAAAUGACCUCCUAUUUAUUUCUUCUACAGGACACCAUGGUGUUCACCUUUCUACAACUUUACACUUGCUGAGGACAUAUUGUGGAAAAUUAAGAGAAAUAUAUAUGGAUGGCCAAGGCUGUAGAUGGAUGUCCAAGCCUUUUUACUGGGGAAUGUUUUCAGAACAAAAUGAGUUACAGGUUCAAGAGUGAAACCCAACAAAUCUUGGCUCUUUUUUUCUCUACUAAAUUCCAAAUCAAAAGUAUUUAUGGAGUGCUUUUAAUGUGCCACGCACUGGGCUAGAGAUUCAUAAUUUUGAUGGGAAUCUGUGUAUUCAAACUCUUUUAACGUGGAAACCUUGCUUGUGCAAGGUCCUCCCAGAUCUUAUCCUACUUUAUCAAAGCUUGGCUAAAUGCAACAUGUCUUCUCCCCAGUGCCCUGGGUCUCUGUACACGCAGUAAAGUGGUCCUUAGACAUAUGCUGAAAUAGGGCUUAAUUUUCCCCAUAUACGAAUGAGAUAAAUUCUACUACAUGUAGCCAGACUUCGAUAGGGAGAACACCCAAAGUCACUUAAAAUAAAACUACACUUUCAUUUUUGCAAGCCAAAUAAUCCUGGAGGAAAUUGUGCUAAUUUUUUUUUCAAAUUUUCAGUUUACACAUUGGAGUUUUGACUUCAAUAUGUAAAAAGUGCAUGAAAAUGAAUGUAGUGCAUCUUUCCUCAUAUGCUCUGCAGUGAUGCGAACUGACUGCAUGGCUAGCUGGUCACCUGAUAAAGGGCACACAGAGAUUCUUGUAGUUCAUUAGGGAUUACUCCGAGGUUGAACACAGGUUUUUCUUUUUCUCAGAUAUAUAGGUAAGACUUGAACUUCAAUUUCCUGCAUAGUGAAUAUGGUUUCUAUUGUCAUGAUUGAGCUUUUUUCAUUUUAAACACUGAGAGCUUCUUUUGAGUUUGUGGGACCCACGCUUUUGGGCAAAGACUGCUUUCUCAAGGCACAUAUGUUCAGAUGUUCAGGUCAUGAUGCAGAGGUAUCAGCUGGGAGGUGCCCCAGGUAAGUUUGCUACUAAACUUCACCCACCCUCAUCUGAGAGGCCACGUCUCUUCCCCUGAGUCUGGGGAUCAUGACACUUUAUAUGUCAGCUACUUUCUUUUUUCGUUUUAUUUUAUUUUAUUUUUGAGAUGGAGUCUCACUCUGUCUCUCAGGCUGGAGUGCAGUGGCACAAUUUUGGCUCACUGCAACCUCUGCCUCCCAGGUUCAAGUGAUUCUUCUAACUCAGCCUCCCAAGUAGCUGGGAUUAUAGGUGCACGCCACCACACCCAGCAAAUUUUUGUAUUUUUUUUUUUUUAGUAGAGACAAGGUUCUGCCAUGUUGGCCAGGCUGGUCUCGAACUCCUGCCCUCAGGUGAUCCGCUCGCCUCGGCCUCCCAAAGUGCUGGGAUUACAGGUGUGAGCCACUGCACCCGGCCACAUCAGCUACUAUUUAAUGAACAUCUUUCCCUGGACAAGAACAAAACUCAAAGAAAUCCAACAGAUUGCAACUUAGUCCUGGGGAGAGAAAAGUCCACAUGUUAAGCAGAAAGCUGAACCACAUAGAAUUCAACCUUUGGUGCCGCUAGUGUUGACAAGGAAGGAUAGAUUCUCUGAGCUAGAGUAAUAAAGAAAGAGAAAUGAGAAACUAGUAUAUCUCCAAAGGUUCUCAAAGUAUUAUUCCUGGACCAGUAGCAUCAACAUUCCCUGAAAAUAUGUUGGAAUUAAAGAUCUCAGCCUCCACCCAGACUUACUGAAUCAGAAAUUCUGGAGCAGGGUCCACUAAUCCUUGUUUUAGUCUUCUGGGUGAUUCUGAUACACACUCAAGUUUGAGACCCUCUGUCUAGCUACACCAUGCUCUUUUUACUUCAACUCAUUAUCCCCACAACAUGAUGCCAUAAUAUAGGAGAUUACAUAGUGUCAGGCUUUGCUUAACUUAGGCUAAGUCUUUAGAUAGAUACAAAGAGGUCAUUCAAUUAGUGGUACCUAUUGGAUAGGGCUCUUAUACCAUCCAUUUUGUUCCGGCAGUUCUUAGCUCAGUUCCUGGGACACAAUAAAUGAUUAACAAAUAGAUAACUAGUUAUUGAAUGAGUGUGGAUUGAUGAAGUUUGAGUAUACACACACACACACACACACAGACACACACAAUGUGAGCCAUACAAGAGAAUGAACGGGAAAGCAAAUUUCUUCUUGAAUACUCAUAAAAUCAGCUUUUAAUACCAAAUAUUAUUUCUUUAGGCCAUAUCCCACUGGAGCCUGAAUUGCUACAAUAGCAUUCUGGAGAUUUUCCUCCUUUCUAGUAUUGGCCUAUCCUAAUGUAUUACAUAACUAGCUUUCUGGAAAAUAUUCCUCAAGGAUCACUUGCUUGCAUAACUUACUUUAGAAAUUCUUCAGUGUUUGAGUGUGUAGUUCUUUCUGUGCUGUGUGCCCAUUGUAUCUUGUGAAUUCCUGUCUACUAAGGUAAAUAUCUGUCCACAUGUCUCAUUCCUUCACUAAACUAAGAAAUCACUGUAAAGAAAAAUGUAUUAGUCUGUUCUCACACUGGUGAUAGAGACAUACCCAUGACCAGGCAAUUUACAAAAGAAAGAGGUUUACUGGACUUACAGUUCCACAUGGCUGGAGAGACCUCACAAUCAUGGCAGAAGGUGAAAGUCACGUCUCACAUGGCAGCAGACAAGAGAAGAGAGCUUGUGCAGGGAAACUCCCCUUUUUAAAACGAUGAGAUCUCAUGAGACUUAUUCACUAUCAUGAGAACAGCAUGGGAAAGACCUGUACCCAUGAUUCAAUUACCUUUUACUGGGUCCCUCCCACAACAGGUGGGAAUUUAAGAUGAGAUUUGAGUGGGGACACAGCCAAACCAUAUCAAAAAAUAAUUUAUUAAUUACCUUGUAUGAUUCUUUUUCCUAUUCCUGGGAUUUAGCACUGUUCCUAAAAUGACUUAUAAAAAUAUUUCAUGUGUAUUUAUGUAUAAGUACCACACACUAACAGAUUGCCCCACUGGAGCACCCAAUUUGUGUUUAUUUAAUCCGUGAAAACGAUUAGUUCCUGGCCAUGAAGUUUAUGCUCCUCCCAUAAUUUUAUGCCAGUUUUUCAGCCUUGUGAAUUUCCUCUUUUAUCCAUCACCUCAAUUAUUGUUUUUACAGGUGGAGUCUCACUAUGAUGCCCAGGCUGUACUUGAACUUCUAGGCUCAAGUGACCUUCCCACUUGAGCCUCUGGUAGCUGAGACUACUGGGGUGUGCCACCUUGCCUGGCUUCUCCUCUCACCUUUAGCUCAACAAGUCCUCUUGGAGUCCUCCUCUUACUCAAGCAGUGCUCAAGCCACCACUGGGUCAUACUUUACAUACCUUAGGGUGGCACUGUAUUUGAGGGUUCACAUUUAAAUGUGCCAAAUGCAUGCAAAGCCUGGUUUACAUUUAGGAGCUUUAUAUUUUUUUUGGCUUAAGGUCUGGUCUAUCUGGUCUAUAUGAAAAAUAGACUUCUUGAGCAGCCCCACCCUUUCUCACUUACAAACUUGUUCAUAAUUGGGCUUUAAAUAAAUAAAUAUUUACUUACUUAUUUACUUAAUGAGGUUGACAGCUUGGUGAGAUGUUUGACAAUGAUAAUUUCAAUAAUUUCUGUCAUUUUUAGUUCCAAGAGGAACCAUCACCCAGUUGAAACUGUGAACCUCUCUCACAAAGUCUAAGUAGCCCUUGAUUCAAGCUAUGGGCACCAGUCUCCACAUAAUCUACUCAGAAGCACUGUAGUGUGGAAAUUGGCAAUGUCUGCCUUCUCCAAAUCAUUCAAUAGAGUUUCAGCUUUUCUCAGGCAUUCUGCAUAUUUAUAAAAGUUAGCUCGAUGCAGUAUUCCAAUAAAACCACCAAUUAUAUGCCUUUCAAAGGAUGUCAUCUUCUGAAAGCGUUCCACAUGGCUAUAAUCUUAUUACCUCUGGUUGAAGUAGUCACAGACCAAACUAAACGGUGAGUAGAGAUUGGUUAUAGGGAUUAUUUUUCCCAUCAGAGUCAGUGUAAGUGACUGCCCUCUCCCUUGUGGUAUGUUUCAGUCCUGACUUGACUAGUGAAGCCACUCCUACAGAUUUCAAACUCUUUGCCAGGGUAGGAAAACACAGGUUGGCUUCACUUCAUCCUCAGCCUCCUAACUUCCUUUUAAGUAACCAUGAGAUAUAUUUAGGAACUGCUGGUUUCUGAGCUAAUACCCAUGAGGCACCAAGGCAAAAAAAAAAAAAAAAGGCAAGUUAAACACACUAAAACUGCUGGCCAUCUCUUAACCAUUCAUUGCACAUGUAAAUUUCACUUGCAUUUUUUCUUUUGCAUUUGCUGGUACUAUUUUCACUUUUAUAUCCUAAAUUCGUGUGGUAAGAGGUCCUUUUAAAGCAUAAGGCAAAGUAGCAUAGGGUGGAAAGUUACAGAUUUUAGAGAAAGGUAGACAUGGCUUUGCAAACUAGCUCUAUUACUUAUUACAUCAAGAAUCCCAGAGAAGUUUCUUCUCUAAUCUUCCUAAAUGUUCUUAUGUGUAUAUUAAGGGUAAUGAUUCCUAUCUUACAGUAUUAAUGCGAAUUCACUGAAGAUUCAUUCAUUCCCCAAAUGUUUAUGUGCCCUUACAGGAACUGGACCAAGGGAAGAGGACACAGAAGGUAAAAGGAAGCCAGACCAGCAUGUUCUCCCACUCUAGUGCUCCUACCAAGAGGCUUUGAUAAGCAAUCACAAUUGUCCCCAGUGACAUGAAAGAAAAAGUGAAGCACCCUGUAGGGAUGCAUAGCAUGACAUCUACGUAGACUUGGGUCAUGGAAGGAAACUGUCACCACAUACAAGUUCAAGGGAAAUGUUCAGCCUCCAGGUGUGGAGCGUGUACAGGAAUGAAGCUGCUCACCCAGGACUUAUGCUUUGCACCUUUGUGCUCCUCACAUAUGGCCAUGUGCCCGUCCCCCCGUCCCCCACCCCACCAAUGGCAUCUGUGCAGAGUGAUAUGCGCCACUUCCAGGCUGGAUAUUUACACUGUGGUUACCUUCUGUCCCUUUUCUCUGCAUCAGCCGCUGAAUGAAGCUCUGCCCAGGCCUUAGGAAAAGGUGAAACCCCAACUAGCAGGGGCCCCAGUUCACCAUAUCCAGGAAGGUGUCCUUGAACCAGAAAUACCCACGUUGUACUCCGACAUGAACAAGAAAUAGAUUUCUAUUAUAUUAAGCAACAGAAAUUUUCAGAUAUAUCAGUUCUCGCAGCAGGAAGGAUGUAUUGAUAAUGGCAACAUGGAUGGAGCUCAAAACAUCACAUUUAAUGAAAAAAGAGACUUACAUAAAAAAAUUAUAGACUAUAUUAUUACAUUCAAAUGAAGUUCAAGAACAAGCAAAAGUUGUGGAAAAAUAUCAGAAAACUUGCUUCUGCUGGAGGGGUAGGAUGGGAUUUGACUGGGAAGAGGCCUAGGGGAACAUGCUGGAAUGAUAUUAAUGUUCUAUUUCUUGAUGGAGGUUUGGGUUCCACAGGUGUAUGUAUUUGCUAAAAGUUAGCAAAUGUAGAGUUAAGGUUUGUGUUCUUCCUUGUGCAAUACAUUUUACACCAAAGGAAAGGCUGUAAACAAAUAUUGAACUGUAGUUAAUCAUAUGUAUGGAGAAAAACUUAAGGAAAAGACUUAUGAAUGCCUCAAGUUUAUUUAAAAAAGCAUUAAAAAUAAGAUUAAACAGGUAUUUAUGGAUAAACUACUGAAACUGAGAGAUAUUAACAGUAAAUAGUCAAAAUGUUCACUGUAAGAAUGAAAUUGAAAGGGAUUUGAACCCAGGUCUGUUUCACUGUAAAUCCUUGCUCCUGUGCUCUCUCAUGUUUAUUGGAAUUCAUGGGUAGAAAAUUUAAAUGCUCUGAAUCACUAUGAGAAGAAAGAUUCAGGAAAAAAAAAUGAAAGGCUAGAUUUCCAAAGAUAAGCCAGGUAAAUAUCAUGGAGAGUUGCAACAAUGUACUGCUAAUUAACUCUAAUACUUAGAGCUAAUGUCGAGUUUUCUGAGGGUUGUGACAUUCAUACAUGACUAAUUAACCUACACAGCAAAUCCAUUUCACUAGCUGCCAUGACACAGCCAAUCAAGACUAGCUCACUGUUUGCUCAUUUGGAAAAUGAUGAGGAUUCCCAUUUAGACUUAAUUACACUACAAAGAUUGACAAUUAUCUUCUCUAUAGAAGCAUCAGAUGUUUCGAUAUUAUACUGAACAUGUGCCUAUAAUUAUGUCCAUAAUUUGUCUAGCAGAAAAUGUAACCCAGUCAUUACUGAGAUCUUAUGCCUGUAAUUAGAUAUCAAAAAAAAAAUACCAAAUGGGAAAAGUGGGUUGUUGGGAUGUUAGGACCAUUACAAUGUGAGAAUCUGUAUGAAGCUAUUAGUGGGAACUCAGUAGCAACCAACAUCUCUUGGAUUGCUGCCCUCUAUUAAAAAUAAUCAGGAAGUGUGAGAGAGGGGAAAAUGAUGGCAGAGUAAAACCAUAGUACAAUCGCUUUUCCAAUACUUGACUGCAGUCAUUAAAAAUCCCAUAGGCACCUCAAAUUCAACACAUUUGAAACCGACUCAUUAGCCACCUUUGCCCCACUAUAGCUACUCCUUUUCCUGUGUUUGCUUUCUUAGACGAUUGCAAAGCAUUGUAGAGUCAUCUGCAACAAUUGUUCUCUCACUCCUUUCUCCUAAUCAAACCUCCGUGAUUCUGAUUACUAAUUUUUUCUAAGUGUGUUGCUCCUCUCUAUGCUGUGACUCUUCCAUUGUCUGCCUUCAUCAUCCUUGUAUGGUCAAUUUCAAGAGCACGUAUAAGAACGGUGCUGCAUCUGAAUGUUCACUCAUAAGUGGGAGUUGAACAAUGAGAACACAUGGACACAGGGAGGGGAACAUCACACGCUGGGGCCAAGCGGAGGGAGAGCAUUAGGACAAAUACCUAAUGCAUGUGGGGCUUAAAACCUAGAUGAUGGGUUGAUGGGUACAGCAAACCACUAUGGCACAUGUAUACCUAUCUAACAAGCCUGCAUGUUCUGCACGUGUAUUCCAGAACUUAAAGUAUAAUAAUAAUAAAAGAAGAAUGGUGCCGCUUUCCUCAAAUGUCUCCACCGUGUCACUUAUCUUCUGAAUUUCUCCCAGUAUGAUCAUCUCUAAUCACGAAUCUCAUUAUGCCACUCUGCCAUUCAGAAGAGUUGAGUGUGUCCACCUCUUUCCUAACAGCAUUUGGCAGAACACAGAAAGUAUGUUUUGUUUUUCAUUGAAUUUUGUGCCAGCUUCACGCUGGCCUGCCCCAGUCUGUAAUUUAGGCUAGCUCCAUUAUAUGGUUUACUAAUUAUGUAAUGUGACAUGCUCAUUAUUUCAGUUAUCUCUUGCAGGACAACUGGCUACCCCAAAAUUUAAUAGCUAAAAGCAAUCAUUUUUAUUUUGCUAAUGAUUUUUUGGGGUAAGGAAUGUAGAAACGGCUCCAAAGGGUGGUCGUUUCUGAUCAAUAUUGCAUCAGCUGGGGUGGAAGAAUCUUCUUCAAAAUAGCUUCUUUACUCACAUCUGGUGCCUUAGGGCUUCUUGACCUCUCUCUCUCUUCAUGUGGCUUCUCAUCCUCCAGGCUUUCUUCACUUGGCUUACCUUCUUGCAGCAAGGGUAUCUAAAAGAAGUCUCACUUUUUACACGGAAGCUAGAUUCCAAGAGGCAGGCAGUAGAAACUGCGCAGCUAGCUAAAGGCUAUAACAGAAAAAGGCAUGGCAACACUUCUACCAUAGUCUAUUAGUGAAGGCAGUUCCCAAGACCCUCAGAUUUAAGAGCACAGAGAAAUAGAUCCCAAUUCUAGAUGGGAAAAUGUCCAGGUCACGUUGAAGAAGAGCACAUAGGGCAAGAGACACUGUUGCACCUGUAUUUGCAAAAGUAAAUCUAUAUGCAUGCUAUUUCAUUCUUCUAAAAUACUGAGUGGCUGUAGCUCUCAACGCUAAUCGCUCUGUCUAUCCUACUCAAAUGCACUUCGGAGCAAUUGCUCAACUUUGCACAUUCUCUACGCAACCUCUCUCCAAAAUGCCCCUACAAUACUUAGUGUAAUCUCUUUUAUGUUAGAGUGGAACACCAUUGUCUAUUUACUGACAUAUUUAUCUCUCCCGCCAGAAUAUAAGGAUAAGCUCAUGUCUUAUUUACUUUAGAAUACCUUUUGUGUAACACAGAUGCUGGCAUAUAGUAGAUAUUAAAUACAUGUUCUAUUGAUCACAAGACUAAUAAAAGGAAUAAAUAAAUUGUCCUAUUCAUACAUGUAUUAUCUAUGCCUGGGGUACUUCCUGGAACAAGUUUAGUACCUGGUGAUUAUCAGCUUCCAAGAUGGCCCCCAAUAGUCUCCACCUCCUGAAUUCACACUCUUUGUAGUUCCUUCCUGCAUUGUGCCAGAGUUGGUCAAUGUGACCAACAGGAUAUAGUAGAAGGGAUGGUAUUAUGCUAUAAAAGACGUUCAAUUUUUAUCUCUUUCUCUCUCAUAAUUCACCCUGAGAGAAACCAGCUGCCUUGUUGCAAGCAGUCCUACGGAGAGGCCCACAUAGUGAGAAACUGAGGCCUUCUGCCAACAGCCAGAGGAGGGAGCUUGCAAGCAGACCCUCCAGCCCCAGCUAAGCUUCAGGUGACUGUCCAGGCAACGGCUGGAGUAAAACCUCACAAGACGUCCAGAGCUAGAGCCACCCAGCUCAGCUGCUCCCAGAUUUCUGACUCUCAGAAACCAUGUGAGAUAAUAAAUGCUUGCUGUUUUAAGCUGCUAAAUUUUGAAGUAGUUUUUUACACAGCAAGAGAUAAUUAUUUUAUUUACUAAUACAUAUUCGUGAAUGCCAUCCAACAUAGAAAGAAUGAAGCAGUUCCAUUCUUCUUCUUGGAUUUUUAGCUAAAGUAUUUUGUUGUUACUACGACAGACACCUGGGUGGUAAUUGCUAUUUCAAGCUGGACACCUGGGCUUUUUCUCCACUACAAAGAACCUCUCAGUUACUCCCAGAGAAAGUAAUGAUUUCACUUCUUGGAGUAAGUGUUUGUGCUAAUUAGCAGCAUGACGAAAUACAGCAUGUCAAGCAAAAAACUAUUUGUGCUUACCUUCCAACACAUUCUCUUACAGAGAGGACAUGAUGCCAGAGAAAUAAACAUUAAACUACUGUACACUAUCAGACUUUGCAAUGUAGCCUUACUUCACUAGCUUUGUAUUUCAAUCCCUAAUUACUAAACUGAUAAGAUUUCUGAUUAUUUUGGUUGAAAGAAAAAGCCCUCCUUUUGUCUCAACAAAAUUAGAACAUGAAAGAAAAAAAUAAAUACAUGAAAUUACCUAGAGAAUAUAUUAUUUAUAUCUGCUUCUAAGAAAUUCAGCAGGGGAUUUUUAAAAUGCUGGAUUAGUAAUUUUAUAAUCUUUUAUAUUCAAAUAUACUUCCAUGAAAUGUUAGC